AUUGAACGCUGGCGGCAGGCCUAACACAUGCAAGUCGAGCGGAUGAAGGGAGCUUGCUCCUGGAUUCAGCGGCGGACGGGUGAGUAAUGCCUAGGAAUCUGCCUGGUAGUGGGGGAUAACGUCCGGAAACGGGCGCUAAUACCGCAUACGUCCUGAGGGAGAAAGUGGGGGAUCUUCGGACCUCACGCUAUCAGAUGAGCCUAGGUCGGAUUAGCUAGUUGGUGGGGUAAAGGCCUACCAAGGCGACGAUCCGUAACUGGUCUGAGAGGAUGAUCAGUCACACGGGAGCUGAAAGAGGGUCGAGACACCGAGGGGAGGCAGGGGGGGGAAAUUGGGGACAAGGGGAAAAAGCUUGACCCACCCGGGCGGGGGGUGUGAAGAAGUUCUGCGAAUUGAAAAGCAUUUUAGGUUGGGAGAAAGGGAAGAAAGUAAAUACGUUGCUGUUUGGCCGUAACAAAAAAAAAAAACACCGGCUAACUUGGUG
rnacentral:rRNA from 1 species